UACAGAGGGUGCAAGCGUUUGUUCGGAAUUAUUGGGCGUAAAGCGCGUGUAGGCGGCUUAGCAAGUCGGGCGUGAAAGCCCUCGGCUCAACCGAGGAAGUGCACCCGAAACUGCUGAGCUUGAGUGCCGGAGAGGAUGGCGGAAUUCCCGGUGUAGAGGUGAAAUUCGUAGAUAUCGGGAGGAACACCAGUGGCGAAGGCGGCGACCUGGGCCAAUACUGAACGCUGAGGUGGCGAAAAGCGUGGGGAGCAAACAGG
rnacentral:rRNA from 1 species